rnacentral:lncRNA from 1 species
CGUCACCGUGGAUCCGUCCCUGAAUGUCUAUGAACUGGAAAAUCUCCAAAGUGGGACACCGUACCAAGUCCAGAUAUCGGGUUUCACUUCUGGAGGAACCGGAGUUCGAAGCACAGCAAGCUUCUUUAAGACAAACCUUAAAGCAAAUGUUCACAUCGGAGGUAUCAUCGGAGUCUUUGCAUUUGUUAUUCUUGUGACGUUUGGAUCCCCACUCAUAAAAAGAGCAAAGACGGUCCUGUGGCCGAGUAUUCCCAACCCUGGAAACAGCGAUACGAUGCAGAAAAUCUUUGAACAGGUGAGUUGCUUUUAGUGAUGAGAAAACCUGAAUCUUCAAGGCAGAGAAAAGUUUAAGUUCAGUUUCUGUUACUCAGGCACAUCUUGAGGCUAUUGGUACGCUAACGGUUGAGGAAUGGCACUCAGGAAUUCUCCAG